rnacentral:tRNA from 1 species
GCUCCUGUAGCGCAAUUGGUAGACGCGAUCGCCUUAAAAGCGGUAGUACUGCGAGUUCAAGUCUCGCCGGGAGCA